AUUGAACGCUGGCGGAAUGCUUUACACAUGCAAGUCGAACGGCAGCACGGGGGCAACCCUGGUGGCGAGUGGCGAACGGGUGAGUAAUACAUCGGAACGUGCCCAGUCGUGGGGGAUAACGUAGUGAAAGCUACGCUAAUACCGCAUACGAUCUACGGAUGAAAGCGGGGGAUCGCAAGACCUCGCGCGAUUGGAGCGGCCGAUGGCAGAUUAGGUAGUUGGUGGGGUAAAGGCUCACCAAGCCUUCGAUCUGUAGCUGGUCUGAGAGGACGACCAGCCACACUGGGACUGAGACACGGCCCAGACUCCUACGGGAGGCAGCAGUGGGGAAUUUUGGACAAUGGGCGAAAGCCUGAUCCAGCCAUUCCGCGUGCAGGAUGAAGGCCCUCGGGUUGUAAACUGCUUUUGUACGGAACGAAACGGCCUUUUCUAAUACAGAGGGCUAAUGACGGUACCGUAAGAAUAAGCACCGGCUAACUACGUGCCAGCAGCCGCGGUAAUG
rnacentral:rRNA from 1 species